CCUACGGGAGGCAGCAGUGGGGAAUUUUGGACAAUGGGCGCAAGCCUGAUCCAGCAAUGCCGCGUGAGUGAAGAAGGCCUUCGGGUUGUAAAGCUCUUUUGUCAGGGAAGAAACGGUGGGAGCUAAUAUCUCCUGCUAAUGACGGUACCUGAAGAAUAAGCACCGGCUAACUACGUGCCAGCAGCCGCGGUAAUACGUAGGGUGCAAGCGUUAAUCGGAAUUACUGGGCGUAAAGCGUGCGCAGGCGGUUUUGUAAGACUGUCGUGAAAUCCCCGGGCUCAACCUGGGAAUGGCGAUGGUGACUGCAAGGCUAGAGUUUGGCAGAGGGGGGUAGAAUUCCACGUGUAGCAGUGAAAUGCGUAGAUAUGUGAGGAACACCGAUGGCGAAGGCAGCCCCCUGGGUCAAAACUGACGCUCAUGCACGAAAGCGUGGGGAGCAAACAGGAUUAGAUACCCUGGUAGUCCACGGCCCUAAACGAUGUCUACUAGUUGUCGGUCUUAAUGACUGUACGCNGCUACGCGUGAGUAGACCGCCGUCGGGAGGUACGGUCGCGAGAGUAAACGUACGAAGAAGUUAGACGGCGUGAGACGUAGACCGACGGACGACGACGAGGGAGGAGG
rnacentral:rRNA from 1 species